rnacentral:tRNA from 1 species
AGGUCCAUAACUCAGCGGCAGAGUGCUACCUCGACACGGUAGAAGUCGUCAGUUCAAUCCUGACUGGACCUA